GAUGAACGCUGGCGGCGUGCCUAAUACAUGCAAGUCGAGCGAACAGACGAGGAUCUUGCUCCUCUGACGUUAGCGGCGGACGGGUGAGUAACACGUGGAUAACCUACCUAUAAGACUGGGAUAACUUCGGGAAAGCGGAGCUAAUACCGGAUAAUAUAUUGAACCGCAUGGUUCAAUAGUGAAAGACGGUUUUGCUGUCACUUAUAGAUGGAUCCGCGCCGCAUUAGCUAGUUGGUAAGGUAACGGCUUACCAAGGCAACGAUGCGUAGCCGACCUGAGAGGGUGGUCGGCCACACUGGAACUGAGACACGGUCCAGACUCCUACGGGAGGCAGCAGUAGGGAAUCUUCCGCAAUGGGCGAAAGCCUGACGGAGCAACGCCGCGUGAGUGAUGAAGGUCUUCGGAUCGUAAAACUCUGUUAUUAGGGAAGAACAAAUGUGUAAGUAACUAUGCACGUCUUGACGGUACCUAAUCAGAAAGCCACGGCUAACUACGUG
rnacentral:rRNA from 1 species